UGUAGUAUGGUGUAAAGUUGUGUAGUAUGUUGUAAAGUUGUGUAGUAUGUUGUAAAGUUUUGUAGUAUGGUGUAAAUUGUGUAGUAUGUUGUAAAGUUUUGUAGUAUGGUGUAAAGUUGUAACAUUUUGUAACAUGACGUAAAAUUUUGUAGUAUGUUGUAAGGCUGUACAGUUUUGCAGUAUUAUGUAACAUACUGUAGUAUGUUGUAAAGAUUUGUAGUAUGGUGUAAAGUUGUGUAGUAUGUUGUAAAGAUUUGUAGUAUGAUGUAAAGUUGUGUAGUAUGUUGUAAAGAUUUGUAGUAUGGUGUAAAGUUGUGUAGUAUGUUGUAAAGAUUUGUAGUAUGGUGUAAAGUUGUGUAGUAUUGUUGUAAAGUUUGUAGUAUGGUGUAAGGUGUGUACUAUGUUGUAAGAUUGUAAGUUUGUAACGUGUUUGAAGUUGUAAAGUUGUGUAGUAUGCUGUAACACAUUUUUCAUGAAUAAUUAUAACAACAUGUUUUAAUUCCUUAUGAAUGCAAUAUAUACGUAAAUAUAAAACGGAUGUGAUUCCUAGUACUGGUUCAGCAACACAACAGAACCGUAAUUUUUUUUCCACGAGUACACACCACCACAAUACACAGUAGAAAAAGUUAAAACUGUGACGAACACAAAGUAUAGUAAUGUUUUUGCAUGCUUUACACGACUCGAUAUUGUAGAUGUGCACAUUUAUUGAUGUCGAGAGAUUUACCUGGAUCUUUUCCAUCUGAGAUGCCGUUUUCAUGACUGGGCUCUCCAUCAGAACUUGGUCUGUCACAGGACAACUUCUGCAAGAGUCAUAAAAUAACAGAUUCAGAUACACAAAUACCCAGCCAGUGGCUUUUAAUUGUGUAAAAAAAGUGUGAAUAUACAGAUGGGUGACAAAUUAAAGAAAAAAUGUUGGUGUAACACUUUCUAUGAAGACUGCAUGUAUAACCAAUGACCUAUGAAUAUAUUCUUACAUUCGAACAUGGUUAUAAUGCUUUAUGAAAUAGGUGAUAACAAUGUUUAUAAUGCAUUUAUGAACUGUUAACAGAAUGCAUUAUAAGUGUUUAUGUGCAACAAUCACUGAUACAAAGUGAGUGUAUUAACAAUCACCAAUACCAGGUGAGUGUAAUCUGCUGAGUGUAGUUUUUUGUAGUAGGUUUUAAAGUUGUAAACGUACUACAAAAUCUUACAACUUUACUUGAAAAACCUGAGAACUUUACAAUGUACUACCAAACUUUACAACAUACUACAAAUUCUUACAACUUUACAACAUACUACAAAACGUGAGAACUUUACAACAUCUCUACAAAUUCUUACAACUUUACAACAUACUAUGAAACUUCACAGCACACUAUAAGACCUGAGACCUGUACAGCAUACCAGAAAACAUUACCCCUUCACAAUACACUACAAAAUGUUAAACAUUACUACAAAACCCGAUACCUUUACAGAAUACUACAAAAUGCUACUACUUUACAACAUACUACAAACCAUUUUAACAAACUCUAAAACCAGGAACUUUACAACACACUACAAACUUUACAUACUUCAACACCUGAGAACUUUGCAAUGUACUACCAAAUAUUACAACAUACUACAAACCUUAGAACCUUACCACAUACUAUAAAACUUUACAACAAUCUACAAAACCCGAGAACAUUACAGCAUAAUACAAAACUUUACGACAUACUACCAAACCGGAUGUAGUACAAAACUUUACGACAUUACAACAUAAUGUAAAACCAGAGAACUACACGACAUACUACGAAACGUUACAACUUUACAAGGUACUAUAAAACUUGACAACAAACCACAAACCUAAGAACCUUGCAACAUAUUACACAUUUAUAAUAUACUGCAAAGCUUCACAACAUACUAUAAAACUUGCAGUUUUAUACCUCAAACCUGAGAACUUUACAACAUACAACAAAACUACAACUGUUGUACAGAUGUAUUUAAUCGAUGUAAAGACAAACUGAAACGGUUCUUGCAGCUAAUUGUGGCUCGACACCUUACUAACACAACUAACACCCUUUAAUUUGUCACAACUGCAUUUAAUUAUGAGUUUUUAUUUGUAUUUAUUUUUUCAUUACAGAGAAAAGA
ensembl:lncRNA